AACGUAGGUACCGAGCGUUAUCCGGAUUUACUGGGCGUAAAGCGCGUUCAGGCGGUUUGGCAAGUCGGGCAUGAAAUCUCUCGGCUCAACCGGGGGAGGUUGUCCGAUACUUCCAGACUUGAGGGCAGUAGAGGGUGGUGGAAUUCCGGGUGUAGUGGUGAAAUGCGUAGAUAUCCGGAGGAACACCAGUGGCGAAAGCGGCCACCUGGACUGCACCUGACGCUGACACGCGAAAGCGUGGGGAGCAAACGGG
rnacentral:rRNA from 1 species